ACGAACGCUGGCGGCGUGCUUAACACAUGCAAGUCGAACGGAAAGGCCCUGCUUUUGUGGGGUGCUCGAGUGGCGAACGGGUGAGUAACACGUGAGUAACCUGCCCUUGACUUUGGGAUAACUUCAGGAAACUGGGGCUAAUACCGGAUAGGAGCUCCUGCUGCAUGGUGGGGGUUGGAAAGUUUCGGCGGUUGGGGAUGGACUCGCGGCUUAUCAGCUUGUUGGUGGGGUAGUGGCUUACCAAGGCUUUGACGGGUAGCCGGCCUGAGAGGGUGACCGGCCACAUUGGGACUGAGAUACGGCACAGACUCCUACGGGAGGCAGCAGUGGGGAAUAUUGCACAAUGGGCGGAAGCCUGAUGCAGCAACGCCGCGUGCGGGAUGACGGCCUUCGGGCUGUAAACCGCUUUCGCCUGUGACGAAGCGUGAGUGACGGUAAUGGGUAAAGAAGCACCGGCUAACUACGUG
rnacentral:rRNA from 1 species